GCAGUCACUCAGAUCGUCACUAGAGCUGCUUCCAUUUUCAGUGCUACAUUGUCUUCAGCACCUACAUUCAGCGUCUCCAAGCUCUGCAUGGAGACAUUGAAUGCUCCCUAAAGAAAUGCGUUCAUUCAAUGCAUCUCUAUGAGGCGUUGCUGAUUGGCGCAGUGCUUUGUCAUGCAUGAGCAAUGGCCUCCCAAUGCUUUUUUG